ACUAAUCUCAUCCGUGCUCUUUCCCCUAUCGUAUACUUGUUGGUCCUUUUUUCGAUUGUUUUCCACAGUCUCUCAAUUCCAAUUCAUAACAUCAUCUACAAGAUAGCAGGUAUCAAGCCGAUAGUGGAUAAUGCUGGCCCGGUAGAGAUGCCGCCAUCUUCGAGGCGGAUGUCGCUACCCAAAAAAUAGUAAGUCGAACGAGAAGCUAAAUCCAAUCACCUUGUGCAAACAGGUCCUCGCGCGGUCUCCGCGAGGGCCAAAGCAUCUGGGACCUAUCAAACCCUCACGAUGGGCGAAGUAGAGACUGCCAAGGAGGAGAGCAUAGCGAGCUCCAGUCAGCUUUUCUCGAGGUCAGAACCUAGAUCACGGAAAACGAGCAUCCAUUUUUGGGGAUAGCGGAGGCGAACAAGUGUGAUCGUAAUUAGGGUGCGAGAGGCUAGAGACGGCGGACCAGUGGUUUACGUAGAAGCUAG
rnacentral:sRNA from 1 species